GCAACUUUGAAAAUUAACUUUAUUCAGGAGUAAAAGAUUUUUAGGUGGGGCGCCUAGAAAGCAAGUCUAACCUUUCUGAAUAACUAACUCUUUCCGGAUUUGACCCGAUUAUAUUCGAUCAUAGGAGAAGUUACGCCGGGGAUAACAGGCUAAUCCUUUAGUAGAGUUCGUAUUGGCUAAAGGGAUUGCCACCUCGAUGUUG
rnacentral:rRNA from 1 species